CACGGCGGAGCAGAGCAGAGGUUUCAGAACGGCGGAGCAGAUUAAAUGUUUCAGAACGGCGUGAGCAGAAAAACAUAGCAGAGCAGAACACGGCGCGAGCUCGAGCAAUGAGAAACACUACGACGGCGAGCAGAGAAGAGGAUUACAAUGCAAGGUAGAAACGAUAACAGAAGAGCAAGGCAGAGACGGUGCUGGAGGUGAAGAAAGUGGCGACGGCACAACUUCUCUCUCC
rnacentral:lncRNA from 1 species